AGGGAUGGAGCUCAGAUGGUAGAGCGCUCCCUUAACAUGCGAGUGGUACGGGGUUUGAUUCCCCGCAUCUCCA